rnacentral:rRNA from 1 species
GACGAACGCUGGCGGCGUGCUUAACACAUGCAAGUCGAACGGAAAUGCCCUGCUGUUGUGGGUUGCUCGGGUGGCGAACGGGUUAGUAACACGUGAGUAACCUGCCCUGGACUUUGGGAUAACUUCAGGAGACUGGGGCUAAUACCGGCUAGGAGCUCCUGCUGCAUGGUGGGGGUUGGAAAGUUUAGGCGGAUGGGGAUGGACUCUCGGCUUAUCAGCUUGUUGGUGGGGUAGUGGCUUACCACGGGGUUGGCGGGUAGCCGGCGGGAGAGGGUGAGCGGGGACACAGGGACUGAGAUACAGGCCAGACUCCCACGGGAGGGAGAAGUGGGGAAAAUAGUACAAUGGGCGGAAGACUGAGGCAGAAACGCCGCGUGUGGAAGGACGGGCUUCGCGGAGUAAACAGCGUUCGCAUGUGACGAAGCGUGAGUGACGGUAAUGGGUAAAGAAGCAACGGCUAACUACGUG